CCGCCCUCCGGGAGUCCCGGGGCCGGGCCGGCCCGCGCCCCGCCGGGCCCGGCCGCGGGAAGAGGCGACAACUCAGGUCUGCGGGUCGCAGGAGCAUUUAAUGCUGAAACUUCCAAGACUGCUUUUGCUACAUCUCACAAAUUUUGUGCUGGGUUCCUUCCUUUCUUCCUUCUUUCCACAGAUGCCGCUGUUACUUACCCCUCCUCACACCAGCCACCUGGCUCCCCCCCAUCUGCUCAUAUACUGGUCAUUCGGCCUCUUCUCCAGUCUGCCCACCUCUGCUCUCCACGCAUCUCCUCUACUCAACUCACGUGACCAGAGAGCCAUUUUAAAAACACGCUCCAAGCUUUUAAAAAAAUCUGUAAUAAGCCGAAACUGUGGACUCUUAUUAUUGCCUACCAAAAGCAACAAGGGAUCCAGGAAUAAGGCAGGACAUGAACGAAAAAAAAAAAAAAAAAUAAGGGCCCAGAAGAUCUCAUCACAGCAAGAAGGGGAAAACUUCCAAAGGUCCCUGGGAACCGUCAUCUAUGAAAGGACUCUCGCCGACAAUGUUGAACCUGUAUCUUAUUUACUCCUGUUUAGAUCUAAAUUUCAGAUUACAAGUACUUCAGGAGAUAAAGUUCAAAUUCAGUGACACCAAGAGGAAACACAAAUAAAUUCAGAAUGGGAGAUAGUGUUUAAAAAGACCCCAAGGAAAGUAAGUGUCACAGAAGCAAGGGGGAAGGAGGACUGCUUCAGACUGAAGGGACCUCCCGACCCCUUGCAACCCAUGUCUGUACUGGACUGGACCUUGGUCAGAACACACACACACACACACACCUGCACACACGCGCGAGUGUGCAGCUACAAAGACAUCCCUGGAACAACUGGGGAAACUGGAACACAGCCUGGACAUGGCAUAACUUGACAGCGUCACUAUGAAUGUUCUCAGGUUAGAAAACAAGUGUGACUAUUCUCCUUGGAGACAUGCCGAGGUGCUGUGGAGCGGAGUGUCAUGAUUUACACAACUUCCCUUCAAACACUGCAACAAAACCAAUGUAUAGGGUGCGUGUAUAAAUACACAUAAACACACUUCUGUCAUGUAUGAAUUGUACAUACAUACAGAGUGGGAGACGAGAGAAGACGACAAAAUGCUAACAGCUGCGGAAGCCAGAAGGAAGUAUAGGGAUGUUUUGUAAAUGAUUCUUUCAACUUUGUUUGAAAAUGAUCGCAAUAAAAAGUAAGUUUGGGGAAAUAUUCAAUAAAGCCUAUUCACACAAAAACCAAACCAAACCAAAAGGUACUGAAACAGGAGCCAACUUGAAGGGUUCCCAAUGACAAAAAAGGGGAACAAUCUGAGCAUAAAAAACGAUGACUGCAGUAAAUGAAACAUUAAAUGUAUAAACACCUAAGAAUUCAUUCAAAAUGAUACUAAACAACCACCCUCAUCACCUUUGGGGUUUGCUAGGGCACAUUUAAUAUUCUGAAAGUUGGUAAAUAGAGGUACCAUACUAUUUUGCAUGUCUGAUAAAAAUUCUAUUUCUGGGUAACAAAAGAACAGAUGAGGGAAAUCAUCCUUUAUAGAAUUAUAGCCUUUAAAUGCAGAAGGAAUGAUAAAAUUAGAAAGUCGUCAUUUUGCAACCUCCAAUGAAUGGCUCUAGCCAAUGAUUAUCAACAGAUGCGGAAACUGUUGGGGGGUGUUGAUGCAGAGCCCUGUACUGGACGGCGCGGGCCAACCACUCCCGAACACACCGAUGCACGCUGUAACCAUUCAAAGUGGGGUGUCCAGACACCACACGAGUGAGACAACAGGAAGCACGAAGCGCUACUCAUGAAGCGCACCUAGCCUUGCUGGAAAUGCCUCAACAUCUAACGGUGAGUUUAUAAGAAUGGUGGAUAGGCUAAAGGAAUGUGUCAAACACCUCCGCAAGGACACAAUUAGCAAAAUCUCAACUAUGGGGAAGUCUUCAAAACAGAUAACCAUUUUUCCCAACAACUAAAUGCAUGGGAAAAAAGAGAAGGCGAAGAAGGAUAUAUCAGUGACUCAGGAGAACUAAGACUCGCCGCCCUGGCCAGUGUGGCUCCGCUGGCGGAGCGUCAUCCCAUGGACCGAAAGGCUGUGGCUUUGGUCUCCGUUUGGGGCGCACAUGAGGGAGAACCAAUCGAUGUUUUUCUCUCACAUCAACGUUUCUUCCCCUCUGUUUCUCCCUCCCUCCCGUCUCUAAAAUAAAUAAAUUGCAACACGCAGACCUAGUCUCCGCCCACCACCUCCAAGUUAUGCUCCAGGGCUGUUUCGACCAUGCGUCCCGGGGAAGCCUGUGCCUGCUCUCCGGACUGGUCGUGCGUGUGCAUGUCCUCAGACAAACUCGGCACAUCGGCAAUUACUUCCUCAACACCCGCCUUCUCCACUAGCCUAAGUUUCAUGAGGGCAUGAACCGUGUUUGCCUUUUUCACAAGUGCCUGGCCCUGUUGCAGAGCAACUGCCGAGUAAGUCUCCAGUCUGGAGUAGCUGGAGCACCUGGGGGAGUGACCAAGGGGCUCAUCAGCGACCGUGUUUGCUCCCAAUGAGGGAGUGAUCUGACGAACCCAAGAAGAAAUGGCAAAGAAGGUCACUGAUUCCUGCCUCAGAGAAAGGACUUUACUUCUAUUUGUAUUAAUGACAUAAGAGUUCAAGAGCUUCACAAAUAAAUAUUCGGUUCAAAGUUUUGAGUUACUGAACCAGAUGGAACCACGCCACCGAGAACCCCGCAGGAGAAUGGAAACGGGCUCUCUGCGCUCUCACCCACGAGUCCCCAUGGGCUCUGGCACACGGAGG